rnacentral:rRNA from 1 species
UACGGGGGGGGCAAGCGUUGUUCGGAAUUACUGGGCGUAAAGGGUUCGUAGGUGGCCAACUAAGUCAGACGUGAAAUCCCUCAGCUUAACUGGGGAACUGCGUCUGAGACUGGAUGGCUUGAGUGCAGGAGAGGAACGCGGAAUUCCAGGUGUAGCGGUGAAAUGCGUAGAUAUCUGGAGGAACACCGGUGGCGAAGGCGGCAUCCUGGACCGACACUGACGCUGAGGAGCGAAAGCCAGGGGAGCAAACGGG